GGCACCCGCUCGUUGAUUCUUUAACUCACCAGACGCCUCAGCUGAUAGGAGAUACAAAGACAACGAGCACGCCACACCUUCUACCUGUCGCUUCAACACCAACACCAACACCAACCUCUCCCCUCUGGGUCUUGGCCUUUGUGGGAGACAUUGACGCCGGUUUCCUCAGUACCUCUGGAUCUACUAUCCGGACCGUUCCCUGCUGAAGACUCGACGUCGGCAUCUGGGCUAUCCGCACCUCCACAGCCACCGUCGCCGACACCAUCAGCACCGCCAGCAACCACAGACAAGCCGCGGACAUCGCCCCGGAAACCAAAACAAAGAGAAAGAAAUACUUGUGUGUGUGUGUGUGUGUGUGCGCGUACGUGCGUACGUGCGUCCGUGCGUGUGUGUGUGCGUUUUAUCUGUAAUGCGGUUUGUCUAUGUUCCGGCUUUGUGCUUUUAGACGGUGUCAUUUUACUAUUGAAGGUGUUUGAGUAACUGUUGCUGCUAAGCGUCAUUGUGAUUUUACUACUAUGCUUUAACGACGACGGACACUAGAGGUCGCGAUUACUAUUUCACCCUAUGCUUUAA